rnacentral:pre_miRNA from 1 species
AAAAAGACAAACCCUGGUUUCCGUGUCCAACGUUUGACCGUCCGUCUUAUUUAAAAAAAAUAUGAAAAAAAUUAAAAAAAUAAGUCACGCAUAAAGUAUUAAUCAUAUUUUAUCAUCUAACAACAAUAAAAAUACUAAUUAUUAAAAAAUUUCAUAUAAGACGGACAGUCAAACGUUGGCACGCAAACCCACGGUUUGCUUUUUU